UACAGGGGGUGCAAACGUUGCUCGGAAUUAUUGGGCGUAAAGCGCGCGUAGGCUGACCGGAAAGUCGGGCGUGAAAUCCCUGAGCUCAACUCAGGAACUGCACUCGAAACUCCCGGUCUAGAGUGGUGGAGAGGGAAGUGGAAUUCCUGGUGUAGAGGUGAAAUUCGUAGAUAUCAGGAGGAACACCAGUGGCGAAGGCGGCUUCCUGGACACCAACUGACGCUGAGACGCGAAAGCGUGGGGAGCAAACAGG
rnacentral:rRNA from 1 species